CAGUAGCCGCGGUAAUACAGAGGGUGCGAGCGUUAAUCGGAUUUACUGGGCGUAAAGCGUGCGUAGGCGGCUUCUUAAGUCGGAUGUGAAAUCCCUGAGCUUAACUUAGGAAUUGCAUUCGAUACUGGGAAGCUAGAGUAUGGGAGAGGAUGGUAGAAUUCCAGGUGUAGCGGUGAAAUGCGUAGAGAUCUGGAGGAAUACCGAUGGCGAAGGCAGCCAUCUGGCCUAAUACUGACGCUGAGGUACGAAAGCAUGGGGAGCAACAGGAUUAGAUACCCCAGUAGUCCCUGUCUCUUAUACA
rnacentral:rRNA from 1 species